GAACAAAAAAAAAAAAGCACUUUGUAUUAUGAAUUUAUUGGAGGUGUAUGUUUUGACUGGUGAGUCGCUUGCUUAUGAAAAUAUGUGGCCAUGGAUGUAAACAUAACUGAAUAACCAGCAUCCUUAUGUGACCGUAUUGAGCAGAACAUUGCAACUUUGCAGCUGAAAUGCACACAUUGUCCAGACCAGAGUCCAAAAUGCAUCCCUGUCACUUUUCUUGUAUCUCCAGAUGAUAAAUCUCCAACUCUUACCCUUUUCUUUGCUUAUUUGUGGGAAAAAAAAGUGUGUCGUCUCCCUCAACACGGCACGAAUGGACAACAAGCAAAGAAGGAAUGGAUUCUGCAGCAGCAACAACAACAGAACAGAACGCGUCUGCCGUCUUCUUCCCGCUGCUAUUCAAAGCGCCCAACCUAAAAGACAAGAAUCACGCAUCAGUCCCAUCACUGCCAUCAGGGCGGACCGGCGGAGCAUUCAAAAGACGGCAUUAUGAAAUCAGCGGAUUUCUGCCACUGGCCUCCUUAAAGCCGCGGGAUAAUGAGCAAUCAUCAUAAAGCAAGAGGACGGAAAUACUCCAUUCUUCUCCCGCUGUCAACUUUUUGAUCAGCGCAUCCGCGUCGGAGCCCAUUGGCAGAAUCGGGCUUAAUAACAACCUGACAGAGUCGCCCCCCGCCCCGGCGCCCCUGCUCGCACAAAAGGGACGUGUCAUUUCAUCAACCUGCCGUGACCCCCGCCAGUGGCUAAACAGCGCCUGGAAAAUAAGGGGAAAGAAGCCCGAAGGUGUUUGUGCGACCAGUGACUGCUCGUUGGAAGCGUUCGGAAUUUCUGGCGGAGGUUCCCGGCUACAGCUGAAGAAAAAGAUUGUCAAAGCAGGAUGCUGUUGCCGCCAAGCUUCACUGUAGGAAACCGGAGUACCCGGAGAAAACCCACGCAAGGAUGG